AAACUAACAAGGAUUCCCCUAGUAACGGCGAGUGAACCGGGAAGAGCUCAAAUUUGAAAUCUGGCGUGCUCAGUGCGUCCGAGUUGUAAUCUAUAGAGUCGUUUUCCGUGCCGGACUGUGUCCAAGUCCCUUGGAACAGGGUAUCAAAGAGGGUGAUAAUCCCGUACUUGACACAAUGACCGGUGCUCUGUGAUACGUCUUCUACGAGUCGAGUUGUUUGGGAAUGCAGCUCAAAAUGGGUGGUGAGUUCCAUCUAAAGCUAAAUAUUGGCGAGAGACCGAUAGCGAACAAGUACCGUGAGGGAAAGAUGAAAAGCACUUUGGAAAGAGAGUUAAACAGUACGUGAAAUUGUUAAAAGGGAAACGAUUGAAGUCAGUCGUGACUGAGAGGCUCAGCCGGUUCUGCCGGUGUAUUCCCCUCAGUCGGGUCAACAUCAGUUUUGUUCGGUGGAUAAGGGCAGUUGGAAGGUGGCACCCUCGGGUGUGUUAUAGCCAGCUGUCGCAUACAUCGGAUGAGACUGAGGAAUGCAGCUCGCCUUUAUGGCCGGGGUUCGCCCACGUUCGAGCUUAGGAUGUUGACAUAAUGGCUUUAAACGAC
rnacentral:rRNA from 2 species